rnacentral:rRNA from 1 species
CCUACGGGGGACAGCAGUGAGGAAUAUUGGUCGAUGGACGAGAGUCUGAACCAGCCAAGUAGCGUGAAGGAUGACUGCCCUAUGGGUUGUAAACUUCUUUUAUAUGGGAAUAAAAUGUUCCACGUGUGGGAUUUUGUAUGUACCAUAUGAAUAAGGAUCGGCUAACUCCGUGCCAGCAGCCGCGGUAAUACGGAGGAUCCGAGCGUUAUCCGGAUUUAUUGGGUUUAAAGGGAGCGUAGGUGGAUUUUUAAGUCAGUUGUGAAAGUUUGCGGCUCAACCGUAAAAUUGCAGUUGAAACUGGCAGUCUUGAGUACAGUAGAGGUGGGCGGAAUUCGUGGUGUAGCGGUGAAAUGCUUAGAUAUCACGAAGAACUCCGAUUGCGAAGGCAGUUCACUGGACUGCAACUGACACUGAGGCUCGAAAGUGUGGGUAUCAAACAGGAUUAGAUACCCCUGUAGUC